rnacentral:rRNA from 1 species
UACAGAGGUGGCAAGCGUUGUUCGGAAUUACUGGGCGUAAAGGGCGCGUAGGCGGUUCGUUAAGUCCUGUGUGAAAUCCCCCGGCUCAACUGGGGAACUGCACAGGAAACUAGCGGGCUUGAGUUCGGGAGAGGGAAGCGGAAUUCCGGGUGUAGCGGUGAAAUACGUAGAUAUCCGGAGGAACACCGGUGGCGAAGGCGGCUUCCUGGACCGACACUGACGCUGAGGCGCGAAAGCUAGGGGAGCAAACGGG